rnacentral:lncRNA from 1 species
AUGGGGAUACUGGGGCCAAACGUAAUCUCACUGAACCCUGCGAGUUUGUCUUUGAACCGAGUACACGUGGCCAUUCCUGCCCAUUUUGCAGGAUCCAAUAAGCCCCCCCAAGAGUGGAAGUGUCCCCAGAGACUGAUGGGCAUGCCCUGCUGUGAGCAGCAGCCCGGUUCUGCCCUGUGCCCCUCGGAGCCCCCCCGGCCCCCGGCCAAGCUCGGGGAGGUGGCAGAGGAGCAGGUCCAGGAGGAUGUGAUGAAGUGGCCGUCCCGGUCGUCAGGCCCAGCGUGGGGACGGGUCUGGCGAGGCUCCUCUCUGGAUGCUGGGACUUUGGGGCCGUGGCUGGGACGACUGGAAAGAGGCCCGUGUCCCCCUGGGCGGGGCGGCUGCAGUGCUGAGCGCCGGCCCUGUUUCCUGACGGCCGGCUCCCGACCCCCGCGGGACGGACUUGGUGGCAGCACACCCGACCCGCCAGCGCUUUCCCGUUCACCGCGGUGGCUCUGAGUCUGCCCUGCUGGCAGCCAGCGCGGGACCUGGACUGGCCAGGGCGCGCAGCAAUUCCCUGGCGGUGCCGAGACCUGCCUCGAAGUCCUGAGCGCGCGGGGUGGGGGUGGGGGUGGGACGACGACAGAGGGACAGUGUGAUGACGCGGGGGGACCCGGCCGCCCAGAACAGCGACCUCGAGGACAGCUGACUGGGCCUGGUGGAGAGGCGGGGACCGAGGCCGGUGGGGGAGGGCGGGGACGCGUGAAGGGGGCCUGGCCGGCGGGGCGCAGAGGAGACGCAGCUAGAGUCCGAGCAGCCGUGUGGUCGUGAGUGGUGCGGAGAAGUGGCUUCUCAGUUUGAAUCGUGAGCAAUUUGGGGCCAGUUUUCAGUGAAGGUCGAAGGAGCUGGCGCGCUGAGGAGACAGGCUUUGGCCGAAAUCUGCUUUGCGCGGUGUGCGACCUUCGGAGGCGUUGAGGAGGUCGGUGGUCUCACGUCUUUUCCCAGGGGCUUCUCGGCGGCUCCUCGGGGCUGCCUGCGUGUCCCGCAGCGGCCGGGGCCGGCGCCAGGCUGGUUCGCCGCCGGCAUCCUCGCCCCGCCGCGGAGCCCACUCUGGGCCGGGAAGGAGGACGGGCCCUUGGAGCCUGGCCCUGGCCGCCCUCCGGCCUCGCCUGGGCCUUGGCGAGCCGCCACGGCUCUGCGCGGGGGCCGUUUGCAGCAGCUGCUUCGCACAGGCAGGGCGGACACGCAGGCUGACCCUCGGCGCGUGGUGGCGGGAGAGGCGUGGGGACGCCGUGGCCCCUGCUGCGCCCGGUGUCUGUGCGUGUUGCCCCGAGUGACACACGGCUCAUCUGGCUGAUGGAACGAGCUGCCAGAUCGGAGGCCUUCGUGUGCUCUGGCUGCUCGGCUUGCAGACCCACGUCUCAGCACAGUGGCCCUCGCGUCAGGCUAACCCGAGGGAUUUUGAGCUGGAGGAACUGUCUGGAGAGGCCUUCCGGAAGGAGGUCCAUCUGCGGGGACCGUGGGGUCGUCCUUCCGGUCGGCAGAGCCGGGCGGGGGUCUUUUAACAGGAGAGAGCGAUUGACGGAGGAGACCCUUUCUGGCGCCUCUGCGUGGGGGUUUGAACACACUUCUCCAGUUGACUCAGAGGUGCCCGCUGUGCUCCCUGUGGAUCGCCCUCACGAGCAAGUCCCCAUAAAGCGUCACUUGGACGCUUCUGUUUUGGUGCCUCAGUGAGGAUAGUAUGUUUUUCUUCCCAGGGUUUCAGGGUCAGUUUUCUUUGUCCCCCAGUUGCUGCUGUGAGGGGCAGAGUUCAGCAGUUUUUGUGUUUUUCGUGGUGAGCGGUGCAGGGGUGGGACCCGCCUGGAGGUGAGCGUGUGAUGGCCAGGGGUUCAGGUAGUAGCUUUGGGGCAGCUUGGCCUGUUGCUCUGUCCUCAAGCAGCCUGGGGGGAGCACUGGCCUGUGCCCGCUGACCUUUGACCCUUGCCAGCUCUGCAGAUAGCCGGCCAGUCCCUGGGAAGAGGUGGCCCCCCUGCUCCAGGAAGCGGUGGGGCCUUUGUCUCCAUGGCCUCAGGCCUCAGCGCUGCUCCUUCAGGCCUGCGCGCUGUGCUGGGGAGCAUUCUGGCCCCAUCUACAGGCGGACCCUGUGCUGUUUCCAGUACGGCAGCAGGGGCUGGCUGAGUGUGGACUCUGGGGCCCGCUGCCGCGGGAGACCCCGGCCACGGAGGACACAGGACGUGGAUGUGUGGACGCGCCAGGGCAGGUGGAUGAGAGCUGAGUGCAGGCGGCCCUGGCCUGCACAGACGGGUGGUAGCGUUGGACCUCGGACUGUGCAGACAGGCCCCUUUUUCUGUAGCCCGUGUUUUAGGGAAACUUGUGAGGAGGGUGUCCGGUCCGUCAGGCAGGCGGGGUCCCAGUGCACCUGCUGAGCUCAGCCGCCAGGUGCCGAGUGGGGCAGCUGUGUGGCGACAAGGCACGGGAUGCGUGGGGUGGGAGCUGUUAGUCACAUUCCUUUAGAAGGCGAGAGCACGUGCUCUCAAAACCGCACAGAAGGUGGACUGGCCAGAAAGUCCCGGUGGCGCCUCUCCCUCUGGCCCCGCUGGUUUCACUGUGGGGCAGAGGGAAAGGGGUGCAAAGCACCUCCUCCCUCCGCCAGCCUUGCUCACUGUCCCAUCGCUCAGUGAGGAGCAUGGGGUGUGUGUGGGGUUCACGCAGGAACCUGCUCAGUGUUUGCACCCAGAGCACACAUAGGCUCAAGUCUUGCCUGAAAAGGGCGUCAGGACAGAGAUUUGACAUGUGCCCAAACUUGGACGCAAUGGGAAGGAGUGGAGGGGCAUUCCAGGAGGAAGUGUUGUAUUAAAAGUGUCCCCAAAGUGAAAGCAUCACCGGCUGACCUCUGCUGAAAUAGAGCACGUGUGCUUGUCCCCUUGAAGGGCUUCUGCCCAAACGGUUUGGAGUUCAGCUGUGAUGCUGGGGUUCUAGGUUCAGACGCUCAGAGACCGGAAUUCUGGUCCUGCUCCAGCUGGCGCCCACCUUAGGGGCUGGUCCUCACUGCCUUUCUGAGAUUAGUUAUAGCUCACCCGCGUAACAUUCUUCACUUUAACAGUUUGUCUCAUCUCAGAUCCGGAGAGAAAAGGGACCUCCGUGUUUUGACGACUUCCUUUUGGAUUUCUGAAUUCUGGUUCAGCGCUGCUUUAUAAAACCACAAGAUCUCUGCUGUUCGUUUCAUUACAUCGUGUGCCUUCACGUGCUUCACCGUCGCGUUCUCUGAUGCCGUUUCUUUCCAACUCAAAAGUUAAAAAUAGUAUCUGAUCCUCAUUACUAGUUUCUAAAGGUUUUGAACGUCUCUUGGGAUGUUGGUUAUGGAUUAUUGGUGGUUUACUUGUUGGAAGAUCAUACUUUAAGUAGCAUUUGAGAGUGGACGUGAUGCUUUGUUUUUUAUCAUGAGUCCGCAUAAGACUAUUAAAUUGCCUUCGCUGAGCCUGAUGCUUCGUAAAGCGAAGGUGUAGGUGACCCACCCCUUGGAAUGCGUCACCGAGGCGACCCCUUGAAAAGGUUAUUCCUUGCCUGAAUUUAGAUGUCUCUUAAGGGGUGGCUGGGAAAGGGGGCGUUUAGCAUUGAGUGACUGUUUGGUCAAGAUUUGUCCCAAUGUAAAGUUAAUUUUAAGAAACCCUCAGCGUUCUCUCUAAGUUUCCCUCAUUGAGAAGGCUCUUGUGAGAGUGUUUCAAGAUGUUCUGUGGUCUGUCCUGCGCCUGGUUUAGCGACUAGUUGUCACAGAGUAAAACCUUUAAGCAGUGUUAAUACUGAGAGUUAACUGUGUAUUUAUGUGAUCACAGGUGUCAUUCUUCUAGAAGCAUAACUGAGUCCCUGCUGGUGAUAUAUUCUUGUGCAGAUUUAAUUCAAAUGGAGAUUGCAGCCAAGCUGCAAAUACCCCAGGGGACUGAUAAAAACCUGGGAAAAGAAGAUUCCAGAAUACUUACUGUGCUCCCCAUAAAGAUGGAAAAUGCAAUAAAUAGAAAGUCUGAAGUAAAUGGUACUUUAAA